CAGUGCCGCGGUAAUGCGAAGGGGGCUAGCGUUGUUCGGAUUUACUGGGCGUAAAGGGCGCGUAGGCGGACUGAUAAGUCAGGGGUGAAAUCCCAAGGCUCAACCUUGGAACUGCCUUUGAUACUGUUUGUCUUGAGUUCGAGAGAGGUAAGUGGAACUGCGAGUGUAGAGGUGAAAUUCGUAGAUAUUCGCAAGAACACCAGUGGCGAAGGCGGCUUACUGGCUCGAAACUGACGCUGAGGCGCGAAAGCGUGGGGAGCAAACAGGAUUAGAUACCCCCGUAGUCCCUGUCUCUUAUACA
rnacentral:rRNA from 1 species